UCUAGAAAAGCCAAUCAUCGUCUCGAUGAAGUUUUCACAGUUGCGAUUUCGGAUUAUAGGACUAUCGCUGAGCUGGGAAAUGGAGCCCGCGGCGAGCCGAAUCUUCCUCCUGCUGCUCUGUGAGAGCCAGCUCCUGACCGAGAUCUGGGCGGGUUCCUUCUCCCUGAGAUAUUUUCACACUGCGGUGUCCCGGCCCGGCGGCGGACAGCCCAGGUACUUGGCAGUCGGCUACGUGGACGACACGCAGUUCGUGCGCUUUGACAGCGACGCUGCUGAUCCCAGGAUGGAGCCACGGGCGCCGUGGAUAGAGCAAGAGGGACUCGAGUAUUGGGAGGAACAGACUCAGCGCGCCAAGGACAUAGCAAGGAGUUUUCGAGUAAACAUGCGAACCUUGCGCGGCUACUACAACCAGAGUGAUUCUGGUUCCCACACACUCCAGUGGACCUACGGCUGUGACGUGGGCCGAGAUGGCCGCUUCCUGCGAGGCCAUAAUCAGUUCGCCUACGAUGGCACCGAUUACAUCUCCCUGAACGAGGACCUGCGCUCCUGGACCGCGGCGAACACCGCGGCUCAGAUCUCCAAGCACAAAUCUGAGGCAGCCCAAGAGGCUAAGUACCAAAGAGCCUACCUGGAGGGGGAGUGCGUGGAGUGGCUGAUCAAACACCUGGAGAAUGGGAAGGAGACCCUGCAGCGCAUAGACCCCCCGAAGACACAUGUGACUCACCACCCUAGCCCUGAAGGGGAUGUCACUCUGAGAUGCUGGGCCCUGGGCUUCUACCCUAAGGAGAUCACCCUGACUUGGCAGCGGGAUGGGGAGGACCAGACCCAGGACAUGGAACUUGUGGAGACCAGACCUGCAGGAGAUGGAAACUUCCAGAAAUGGGCAGCUGUGGUGGUGCCUGCUGGAGAGGAGCAGAGAUACACAUGCCAUGUGCACCAUGAGGGGCUGCCUGAGCCCCUCACCCUGAGAUGGGAGCCACCCCCUCAGGCCACCAUCCCCAUCGUGGGAAUUGCUGCUGCUGUGAUUGUCCUUGUCACUGGAGCUGUGGCCGGUUUUGUCUUGUGGAGAAAAAAAAACACAGGUAUAAAAAAAGGGCCCAAUGCUUCAGCUUUCUGUUUGGAAAUCAAGUAUGGAAAACAACUUUUUCCUAAAAAAUACAUAAAUUCACUUACAUGAAUUUCACUUCUCAAAUUCAGGAAAUCCCAUUUUUUCAGCUCUUUAUGUCAGGACUCCAUGUAAAUCUCAACCACUUCAUUCUUGCCAGGACUUAAAUUCCCCCAUUUGGAUUCCUGACAGACUGAUUCGACCUUAUGUCUAGCCUCCGGACCAUAUCAUGCCCUCCGAGUCUCCGACACGCCUCACCAUUGACCACAGUGCCUGAGGAAGAUUUGAUGACUACCUUGAUUCCAUCUUUCUCCCGAAUAAACUUUGAUGAUCCUCAAUCCUUAUUCAGAUGAUCAUCUUCAACAAGAUUUGCAGAAUUACCAGCUUGGGGACAAUUAAAACAAUUGACUCAUCAAGCUCGAGAACUCGAGAACUUAUUUCUACUCAGUCAAACCCCUGCACUCCUGAGAAAAUGUUUGUUACUAUGCUAGCUAUUCUUGCCUGUCAGGUAACCAAUGUGUCUUCUAAAUAUUAUUGGGCCUAUUAUCCUGAUCCACCUUUAUUUCAUCUCACUACUUGGGGAAAAGGAGAUAUUAAGGUAUUUACCAAUAAUACUAAUCUCCUGGGGGGUAAAUCUAAUUCUUUUAUUACUCCUAUAUCAACUCAUAAUUUUAGUUUUAAGGGUCAUAGUCAUUUACCUCCUCUGUGUUUUAGUUAUAAUAUUAUUCCAAUUGUGGGCUGCAUACCACUUAAUUAUAAAAUUUUUAUGACAUAUUCUCCAAAUGAGGAAAGUGAUAUAAAGGAUCUUUGGAUGCUUUCUAUUUUAA